rnacentral:rRNA from 1 species
UACGUAGGGGGCGAGCGUUAUCCGGAAUUACUGGGCGUAAAGAGUGCGUAGGUGGUUAUGCAAGCGCGAGGGUUUAAGGCUAGGGCCUAACCGUAGUUCGCCCCGCGAACUGCGUAACUUGAGUACAGGAGGGGAAAGCGGAAUUCCUAGUGUAGCGGUGAAAUGCGUAGAUAUUAGGAGGAACACCAGUGGCGAAGGCGGCUUUCUGGACUGCAACUGACACUGAGGCACGAAAGCGUGGGUAGCAAACAGG